UUCUUAUGGGUGUAACUCGGGGUGUAAGAAGGGUAAAAAAAUACUUAAAUUCUUUUUUAGAGAUUAACAAUAUCAUACCAGAUUACUCCUUUGGAUUUAAACAGAAAAGACUUCUGCGAUAAAUUGCGUAAACACAUUAAUUUCUCAUGUAUAUAAAGCAAAGCGAGAAGGUAAUGUAGCUAUUGCCACCUUUUUAGAUCUUACGAAGGCUUUUGAUAACGUGAAUGUAAAUACAUUGCUUGAAAGAUUAUCAGAAGUUAAUGUCCCAAGUGUAAUUGUUAAUUGGAUCUGUGGCACCCCCUGUGCAUGUCAUUAAAAUACGGCAUGAAACACCCUGUGAAGCAGCUGUCAGAGUGCGAGAGUGAGGGAUAUGUUGUGUUGUUGUUUACUAUGUGUAAUGAUGAAUGUCUAGCGUGUAGAUUAUGAUAAUAUAGAUAUUGUAUUGUGUGAAUAUAAGAGUGUUAAUUAUUUAUGAAUAUCUUCCGAAGAAUCCGAAUCCUGAGGGUGUAACAUUGGCGACGAGGACGGUACUCUGAACCUGGGCAAAACGGAAAGUGCAUCGGCUGGGGGCAAUUUUGUAUGACAUUCCCUGUACCUGAUUGUGGUACAGUAACAUUAACAGAAACAGGAGACAUACUGUUUGGAACUUAAUCCAAACUGUAAUUUAAUAUGCGGGAAGGGUAAGUUUUGCUUGAUUAUUCCAUCAUAUUUUUUGGUGGUACAUAUAACUCAUCGGAUAUUAAUUAUAUUGCAGAAUUCGCCAACAGCAUAAGCCACAUUCCGCCUUACUCUGUGCAACUGUGAGGGAUUCCGCGAAAGGAAGGUGAGAAAGAUCCCUCCUGCUGUAUGCAGAUAUUGUACGGAAUCCGCCCCAUCCGGACGAAGUUCCCGCAAUCAUCAUAGGUGCCAACGGAUCCAGGAUUGUAUGCAUCGGGUAAUUCCAGAAAAUAUUAUGCGUGGAGGGCGACAGAAGUAAUGCGCUUUGGAGUUAUAGCCGAGGUGGAAUUUUAUUUUUGAAUAAAAUAUUCUCUGGUGAACGCAUAACAGACUUUUUAUUUUAACAGUUUAAAUGCAAUAGAACCAUAUAUCAUAAGCUUAAUGUACCAUAGAUGACCAAAAAUCAACAAUACCACAUACAUUGUUCGUUUCCGUUCUAGAUUUAUUGUUUUACUGUUCUCUAACCAUCUGCCAUGCAGUGAAUUGCUUGAAAAAAACGGGAUAGUAAAUUGACGUAUCUUUUACUGUUUUGCGAAAAAUUUGUUCGAGAAAACGAGCCAUUUUUUAUGGUAACCUAUCUUAACCGCCUAUACCUCAUACUGUAAUUUAGCGGAUUACCAUUUGUCAAACUGGCAAAUCUGUACGUGGUAUGGUUUGCUUACUGUUAUCUCGGACAGUUCGAAAAAUGGUUAAAUGACAAUUUUUAAUAGGCAUCUACAGUAUGAGAAACGUUGUAUUUACAGUUCGUGAUAAUGCGGGUUGUCUAAUCCAGGCUGCUCCAGAUACUUCUACUUGUUUACCACAGCAAAUUUCAACACACGAGUGACCUCACGAAAGAUUUCGUUUUUUUUUUCUGCUAAGAAACUGCAAACUGCAAAUGUAUGGUCUUUACAAAUACUAAUGUGUGCAACAGUUAGGCUAACUGUUAAAUUUAUGUUGCAUACAGUGAUAUACACAUGUAUAAGUGUGUUGCGCAAACAUAAUCACAAACUAUAGAUAGUAGAGUAAACAUAGAUCCGUGUUGAUGAAUCCGUUGUAUCCAAACGAACUGUCAAAAUCUGUAUCCAAACGAGCAUGACGUCACGAUUUAGACAACAUCAAUGGAGCGCAUGACGUCAUAUUCAACCGUCACACUCUUGAAAAUUACUACUUACACGCUCAAAACAUUUUAGUCAGCGGUGUCCGCGGAUCUAUGUUUACUCUACUAUCUAUAUCACAAACCAUUUGAGAAAUGGCCAUUCCAUAUUCCCACCAUGUUCACAAGUUUUCAUCGCUAUAAUAUCUGACAAUGCCUGUACAGUAUAACAUACUGUUACAAAUUAGUAUGCGUUACUUAGACCGUUCCUGAUGGUCAAAUGCUUCGAGUUUCAUAGUUUUCAACAGAAAAGUACCUGAUUGUGGUACAGUAACAUUAACAGAAACAGGAGACAUACUGUUUGGAACUUAAUCCAAACUGUAAUUUAAUAUGCGGGUUUAUAUUUAUUUGUCUGCUAUAUUCCAAAGGUAUGUAAUCCAUGAAAACGGAGAAAAUGGGAAGUUCUACCACAAACGAAGAUAAUAAUAAAUUCGUAUGUGGUUCUACUACAAAAGGCUUCAAUGCGAAAGAUUUAGGCUUAGAUGCCGUUGUUUAAUGAAGAUGGCUUAAAUGCCGAUUGCCAAAUAAAGGCCGAUGGUAUCGAUGUCGAUAAGAAAGGGUUUGAUCCAGUUGGCUUAAAUGCCGGAAAAUUUGGUUUAAAUGCCGGAAAACUUGGCUUUAAUGCCGUUGAUCAAAAUAAGUGAAAAACUGAUACUGGUAAAAGCAGAAGUUCUUUUACAGUGGGGCUUAAAUGCCGUAACACUAUUUCAAUUCAUUAUGAGUAACAUAUUGAUUUGUGUCUAGGAUAAUGAAUAAAUGGAAAAUGCAACAGUUUGCGUUUAAGGUCCUAGCUCAGAAUGAGAUUCGAGGACAAUGGCUCCACUGGAACUUGCCGUAGUGCCGCUAGUGGAGGAAAAGACCUAACGAAAUUGAAAUUUCUAUUGCUGGCGAAAGCAGGGCCAGACGUACAAGAAGUUUUUCAGUCUAUUCCCAAUGCUGAUGUGGUAGAGUCGGACGAUAUUAACCCUUACGAAGUCGCUUUGGGUAAAUUAGAAGAAUAUUUUGUUCCGAAACACCAUGAUUCGAUGGAACAAACGAUUCUAAUGCAGGAGGAAGCGUAAAUCGUAUGUAUGGUUACCAACGCGGGCGAGUUGGAUUAGUGUGUUCUCGAUGUGGUCGAAAAAAAACAUCUUGGAAAUAUCCCAAGUGUCCUGCUCGAGACAAGGAAUGGGGUUACUGCAAGCGUAUUGGGCACGAGUGUAGAAUUAGCAUUUAAGUUAAAAUACACAUUAAUAAAAACAAAAAAAAAAACGUAUUGGGCAUUAUGCCAAGAAAUGUAAAACUUCUAAUGCGAAAACAUCGCUAGUGUUUCUCAAAGGAGCAAACCUAUGAAAAGCGGCCCACAACAAUCUUUACAGCGUAUCAGAGUAGUUUCGUCGUAAGAUGUAGAUGAGGUCGAUAAAGAAAAUCCUCAGAGUUUUAUAUUUUCCAUUGGCGAUGGCGAUGAUUUCAUUUGGCUAAAGCUCGGAGGUGUAAUGACUCCAAUGUUAUUGAUUCCGGUAGUCGCAAGAACAUAAUUGACUGUUCUACUUGGAAUUCGCUUAAAUUGCAAACUAUUGUUAUUCGAAAUGACCAAGAGCGGUAAUAAAUAAUUUCGUGCAUACGGAUGUUUGAUUCUACUAUCGAGAUACCUAAUGGAAAUCACCAGGCCCAGUGCGAUGCAAGGUUCUACAUAGUACAUGACGGAUAUCAGCCACUUCUGGGGAAGGAUACGGCAAAUGAAGUGAUUGUUCUGCGAAGGGGAGUUCCAACGGAUAUAAUAGAGUAGGUGGAUCAAUACAGUACAGAUAUUUGAUUUCGCCUCUGGUCGUCAUUGCGGUUGAUGUUUGGAAUGUCAUGCGCUCCAGAAAUGUUUCAAAAGAUAAUUGAGCAAAUUUUGGCCAACUGUGAGAGCUGUGUCAAUUUUAAUGAGGAAGAGCAUAAUCGUUGUUUGCGAAAGGUUUUUGGAUGUUUUUACGAAACCAUGAUGUACUACUGAAUGCUAGGAAAUGUGUUUUCAAUGUCACCGAUUUAGACUUCUGACCAGAUGAUUUACGUUCUAGAGAAGGUACUCGACCUACCGAAAGUAAAGUAAAAGCUCUACAAAUUGUUAGACCGCCACAUGAUGCCGAAGAUCUGAGAAGUUUUCUUGGGCUUGCAACGUAUGUGAGCUGGUUCUUGCCAGAUUUUGCGACUAUUUCAGCACCUUAUCAGGUUAACAGUGGAACAACUUUUGUCUGGAAUGCAAACCAGGACUCCUGUUUUUAAAAAAUGAAAAACAUGAUUGCAGAUGUCGAACAUCUAAAAAGUUUGAACAAUAAUUUGUGUACCAGAGUCAUUGUUGAUGCUAAGAAAAAAACUAGUUGCAGUAACAUAUACCCAACAAGGAAAAAAAUGCUGAUGCUUCGCCUGUUCUUUUGGGUGCAGUUUUCAUACAAGUUCAUUGAUACUGAUCCUUACAUCAUUUGCUAUCUAAAGUGAACCAGCCAAGGGCUGAAAGCCUCAUUAAUAAAGCUAGUAAUAAUAAAAUCAUUUGCUAUACAAGCGAAAGCCUCGCAACUACAAAAGAUCGUUAUUGUCAGACGGAUAAGGAAGCCUUUGUUUAGUGUGGGAAGGUUUUCUAUAUAUGUGCUUGGACGCGCAUUUGAACUUGAGACUGACCAUAAGCCUAUGGAAAUGUUAUUCAAACCAAAUUUACGGUCGUGCCCGAGGAUCGACAGGUGGGUUCUAAGAUUGCAACCUUUCACAUUCUCGGUGGAGGUUUGGAAAGGCUCGACAAACAUUGCUGAUCAGUUGUCAAGACUAAGGGAGCAUCGACCUGUGGAUGAUAAGGACAUGGAGCAAGACGAAUAAUUUCUAAUACUAGCUAUCUUGGAAUAAUCUGCCAUCGAUGUAACGGCUCAUGGUAUAGAUCUGAGACAAAAUCGUAAGAACCGUUUCAAAAUGAGCUAGUCCUUGUUGGUGAACUUAGUGCGUGUAAAACGGUUAUUCCACAAGGCUUAAGAUGAAGGUUCAUAGAGUUAGCUCAUGAAGGACAUUCAGGUGAAACACGAUGAAACGGAAAAUGCGCGAUAAAGUUUGGUGGCUGGUGAGUGUAAUGUUAGUCCUAAGGUUGACAUCAAAUUAAUAUUUAAAAUAAAUGGUGACUGGGAAUGUGUACUUGUGAAGGAUGUCGACUAGUUGGAUUACCUCAGAAACCAGAGCCAAUGCAUAGAAGACCGUUGCCUUCAGAACUAUGGACUAAUGUGACGAUCGAUUUCCUUGGUCCGUUGCCUUCCGGAGAAUAUUUGUUUGUGAUAGUUGAUUGCUAUAGCCGAUAUAAGGAAGCCGAAAUUAUGACAAAAAUAAUUGACAAGAGACAGUAAAUACAUUAUAUAGGAAAUUCAGGCGGUUGGGAUUCCCUCGCACCUUUAUGUUAGACAACGCCAAACAAUUUAGUAUUGUAAAACAAAUGGUACUAUCCUAGACUAAUUUAAAGACCUCGAUGUACCAAAGAAAACGAUCAAAUUUUCAGUGUCCAGUCCGGUACCCAAUAAAUAUUCAUAAUCGUGUAUUUUUUUUCGUGUAAAUAGCCUUUUGUGUAAAUUUUAUUUAGCGUGUUACACUGAUCUGACAGCUCUGACAGUAAGGGAUUAAACAUAAAUUACGUAAAGUGGAUACCGAGGAUUGUUCACUAGUAAUCCUACAUUAUAGAGAUCUGCGGAGGCAGCCAUUGUGAGCCAAUCGUGCAGAGAGAACUGUCAAAGUGUAAGCCAAAUGAACAUGCUUAUCGUUCGUAGGAAGGCGUCGUUUAAACGGUAUUGCAAUCGGAACUAAAUAAAUUAAAAUUAUUUAUUUUUAAUAUCGAGGAAUUGGUGGCAUAUGUAAGUUUAGUAAAAAGAUAAAAAAAAUAUUGAUUCUGCUUUCAAAAGCUCAUGCUUAUGACGACACUUUUGUUGCUGCACUUGUCGAAAAAACAUCCAUUGCUACUUCUUGCUUCACUUCUGCCGAUAUGAUUAGGGUAACACUUUUGCAAUAAAUUUCGGAUUUCUUCGAUUGCUCCGCUAUUUCAACAACAUUUUGAAAGAAAUUUCUACCAUAAUUAGAAAAUGUAAACAAAACAACUUGAACCACAACGAAGUCACGCACAAAGUUUGAACAUCUUGCUUUGUAGCAAGUGUUGGCAGCUGUUGUAAACAAAACAAACAGCGUUGCCGAAUCGACAUACGUAACUUCCGCUCAUCUCUAUGUAGAGGAUUUCUAUUGUUCACAAUCUGCGAACUUGAUUGCGAAAAAAAUGCGACCACGACGCCGCUGGUACUAUUUUAAAUUUCACAAUACCCUACUGACCACAACAAAAUGGAGAACUUAAAGCCAAAAUCGUUCACUGCUAAAUCGACUACAAAUUAGUUUAGCCUUGAAGCGCGAUUGGAAAAAGGAUCUAAAUGAAUACCUUAUCAUGUACUGCUCAGCUUCACACUCUGUAACUGGAAAAACUCCAACUCAGCUGUUUGAUGGGCAGUGCAAUUCGAACUAAAAUUCUUUUUCUCAGGGAUGUAGAGACAAUCCCUUCCAUUGAAGGAUUCCAAGAUUGUGACUGGAGUAGCAAGUAUCAUUCUCAUAAACGGGAAAACGAAAAACGGCAUGCAAAAGAAUCUAAUUGAAGGAAGGAGAUGGAGUGGUGAUGCAAACCUUACAUCAGGAAACAAGUUAGCAACUACGUAUGAUGCAGCGGAAUGUGCAGUAAUAGCAAAGGCAGAUACAGGCGUUACAGUGCAAAACCAACAGACAGGAAGAACUUAUCAACGCAGCUCGACACAUUUGAAGAAGAUUUUAGACCGUAAGGAACAACUCCAAACUUCUAAAAAUUCUUCUUUACAGGACUUUCAAGAGGACCAUGAUGUAUCGGAAAUGGUUAGCAGGUCAGAUCAACCAACGACCUUUGAAGAACCCAUGAACCUGGAACUGGACAAGGAACAACCAGAGCCUUCUGAACGACCGAAACGAUUGAGUCGACGUCCUACGAAGUUUGAUGAUUACGUCGUUGAUGAUGAGUCUUCUUAUCCUUGAGAAAAAACGAGAUGUGGCACCCCCUGUGCAUGUCAUUAAAAUACGGCAUGAAACACCCUGUGAAGCAGCUGUCAGAGUGCGAGAGUGAGGGAUAUGUUGUGUUGUUGUUUACUAUGUGUAAUGAUGAAUGUCUAGCGUGUAGAUUAUGAUAAUAUAGAUAUUGUAUUGUGUGAAUA